rnacentral:tRNA from 1 species
GGUGGCUCAGUGGUAGAGCACUUGCCUGCUUGCAGGAGGCCCUGGGUUCAAUUCCUCAGCACCA